GUAGGUGAACCUGCGGAAGGAUCAUUACCACAUCCAAAAACUAUCCACCCACAUGUGUGCACUGUUUUUCUUUGCCAGCCGGUUGCCGACUUGCCUUGCGCUCUUUUUUUUCUUAAAACAAAAAAAAGAGCGCGCAGGAAAAAGAAGCGCCGCUGGCAAGGGAACAUGUUUCAAAACAACCACUUGUAAAACACUCUUUUACAACCAAUUCAAACCAAACAAAAACGAAACUUGAGAGACAACUUUUAACGAUGGAUCUCUUGGCUCGU
rnacentral:misc_RNA from 1 species